GCCCAAGACACUGGCUGUCAGACUGAUUUAGUAAUCUGCAAGAAUGCACUUGUCCAGGCUGACGUGGUGUUACCCGUAGCAAAGAGCUCACAGCCUCAGUGUCUUGUGACACAGGGACCAUGACAGAAAUUCAUCUUCCAGAAGGUCCCAGAGCAUCCACACCUCCUGAAAAGACCACGGUGUGAGGUGUCUGCUGUUGAUUCCAGCUUCCACCUCAGUGACAGUGCAAGCUCAGUGAACUGUUCAAGGAGGCUACUGAUUCUGGCCCUGUGACACUUGGUGGUCACCACCAGGUGGUGACGUGUGAGCUGAUUCACCUGGACACUCAGCAAAAUAUGGACUCUACACCAUGAGGCAGGCACACGUUAAUAACUCUAUAAGAGCACAUAAGCCUGGCUGAUCACCUGAUAACUCCUGUCAUCUGGUUAUGACAGCAUGAGGAUGUCCUCACACACCUGUAACCUAUCAGCUCAUCUGGCAGAAUAGAGAGAGAAGAGACAACACCACAUCUCCUGUUCCUGGAAAGCCUUCAGCCAUCCUUCGAUGACUGAGAACCUCCAUCAGCUCUGUCUCCUGUCUGCCUACAAUUAUUAUAAUAAAUAUUGUGUUUGACAAGUU